rnacentral:rRNA from 1 species
AUGAGCAACAGUAAUUUGGGACAAUUGUAUGUCGCAAAUUAUGGUGCCGCUGAAGCAUCAGUAUGGGUCCUUGAAGAUUCUAGUAGUGAAGAUUAUUGGACUUUGAAGCACAAUGCAAGCUGCUUGCAACUGUUCGGUUCAAGGAGGAAGGAACCUUACAGUGUUAUCUCAGCCUACCCAGAAGACGAUGUGCUAUUCAUAAUUGUCAAAACUACAUUACGGGGGUACCGAUUACAGAUGAAAUUAUUUUCAUACGAAAUUGAUUCUAAGGAGCUGCGUUUCAUAUGUGAUCUUGGACGGACUUCCAGGUGCCCUUAUCUUUCAUAUGUUCCUGUGUUCUCGUAG